rnacentral:rRNA from 1 species
AACGAACGCUGGCGGCAUGCCUAACACAUGCAAGUCGAACGAGAUCUUCGGGUCUAGUGGCGCACGGGUGCGUAACGCGUGGGAAUCUGCCCUUUGGUUCGGAAUAACAGUUGGAAACGACUGCUAAUACCGGAUGAUGACGAAAGUCCAAAGAUUUAUCGCCAGAGGAUGAGCCCGCGUAGGAUUAGCUAGUUGGUGUGAUAAAGGCGCACCAAGGCGACGAUCCUUAGCUGGUCUGAGAGGAUGAUCAGCCACACUGGGACUGAGACACGGCCCAGACUCCUACUGGAGGCAGCAGUGGGGAAUAUUGGACAAUGGGCGAAAGCCUGAUCCAGCAAUGCCGCGUGAGUGAUGAAGGCCUUAGGGUUGUAAAGCUCUUUUACCCGGGAUGAUAAUGACAGUACCGGGAGAAUAAGCUCCGGCUAACUCCGUGCCAGCCGCCGCGGUAA